GCUGUGAUGGCCGAGUGGUUAAGGCGUUGGACUCGAAAUCCAAUGGGGUCUCCCCGCGCAGGUUCGAUCCCAGCUUGCAGCA
rnacentral:tRNA from 1 species